rnacentral:lncRNA from 1 species
UCAUUUUAACACCUUCGGGACUUUUCGAAAUGUACCAUCCUCUCACUCUGGUCAAUUUGACUAAAGUUCGAUAUUUAUUUUCCGAAUUCUCGGCAUAUUACACUUGUGCUGAAAUCGGAUUGAAAACGAAGAUUUAAUAUUUUCUGUUAGAAACGGGACAGAUAAAUUAGCAGAAAAUGCACAGUGUCAGAAAAUUAUGAAAAUUGGAGGAUAUGUCAAAAUUAUUUUUAUAAUGCUAGAUUUAAAGUUUCAUACCAAUCUGACACCCGGAAGGUGGAAAAUAAAAUCCGACGA